AUGUUGGAUUCAGCAGCACACAUACUGAAACUGGAAUGAUACAGAAAAAAUUAGCAUAGCCCCUGCUAAAUGAUGGCAUGCAAAUUCAUGAAGUAUUUCAUAUUUUU
ensembl:snRNA RNU6-289P RNA, U6 small nuclear 289, pseudogene